AGCGAACGCUGGCGGCAGGCUUAACACAUGCAAGUCGAGCGGGCAUCCUUGUGGUGUCAGCGGCAGACGGGUGAGUAACGCGUGGGAACGUGCCCUUCGGUUCGGAAUAACUCAGGGAAACUUGAGCUAAUACCGGAUACGUGCGAGAGCAGAAAGGUUUAUCUGCCGAAGGAUCGGCCCGCGUCUGAUUAGCUAGUUGGUGAGGUUAUGGCUCACCAAGGCGACGAUCAGUAGCUGGUCUGAGAGGAUGAUCAGCCACACUGGGACUGAGACACGGCCCAGACUCCUACGGGAAGCAGCAGUGGGGAAUAUUGGACAAUGGGGGCAACCCUGAUCCAGCCAUGCCGCGUGAGUGAUGACGGCCUUAGGGCUGUAAAGCUCUUUUCUCCGGGACGAUAAUGACGGUACCGGAGGAAUAAGCCCCGGCUAACUUCGUG
rnacentral:rRNA from 1 species